AUUGAACGCUGGCGGCAGGCCUAACACAUGCAAGUCGAACGGCAGCACAGUACUUGCUUGCUGUUUCGGGUGGCGACUGGCGGGUGAUUCCUAAGUAUAUCCCUAUCUGUUUUUUCUUGCGUCCUAACGCAGGGGCUCUUACGCCAUUACCGCUUACGACGUACGUGUGAAAUCUUCGGACCUUCCGAUCUCGGGCGAUCGUAUGACCCGAUGUCGGAUUAGCUAGUUGGCGGGGUAAAGGCCCACCAAGGCGACGCUGCGUAGCUGGUCUGAGAGGAUGAUCAGACACACUGGAACUGAGACACGGUCCAGACUCCUACGGGAGGCAGCAGUGGGGAAUAUUGGACAAUGGGCGAAAGCCUGAUCCAGCCAUGCCGCGUGUGUGAAGAAGGCCUUCGGAUUGUAAAGCACUUUUGGUGGGGAAGAAGAGCAGUAGGUUAAUACCUAGCUGUUUUGACGGUACCAAAAGAAUAAGCACCGGCUAACUUCGUG
rnacentral:rRNA from 1 species